UACGUAGGGUGCAAGCGUUAAUCGGAAUUACUGGGCAUAAAGCGUGCGCAGGCGGUUAUGUAAGACAGAUGUGAAAUCCCCGGGCUCAACCUGGGAACUGCAUUUGUGACUGCAUAGCUAGAGUACGGUAGAGGGGGAUGGAAUUCCGCGUGUAGCAGUGAAAUGCGUAGAUAUGCGGAGGAACACCGAUGGCGAAGGCAAUCCCCUGGACCUGUACUGACGCUCAUGCACGAAAGCGUGGGGAGCAAACAGG
rnacentral:rRNA from 1 species